rnacentral:misc_RNA from 1 species
GAUGAAGAACGUAGCGAAAUGCGAUACGUAAUGUGAAUUGCGGAAUUCAGUGAAUCAUCGAGUCUUUGAACGCACAUUGCGCCCCCUGGUAUUCCGGGGGGCAUGCCUGUCCGAGCGUCAUUGCUGCCCUCAAGCACGGCUUGUGUGUUGGGCCUCCGUCCUCCUCCCGGGGGACGGGCCCGAAAGGCAGCGGCGGCACCGCGUCCGGUCCUCGAGCGUAUGGGGCUUCGUCACCCGCUCUUGUAGGCCCGGCCGGCGCUUGCCGACACAUCAAUCUUUUUUCCAGGUUGACCUCGGAUCAGGUAGGGAUACCCGCUGAACUUAAGCAUAUCAAUAAGCGGAGGA